rnacentral:rRNA from 1 species
GACGGAGGGUGCAAGCGUUGCUCGGACUCACUGGGCGUAAAGAGCACGUAGGCGGCUAGGUAAGUCUGAUGUGAAAGCCCACGACUCAAUCGUGGAAGUGCAUUGGAUACUGCUUAGCUAGAGUGCAGGAGGGGUAAGCGGAAUUCCAGGUGUAGAGGUGAAAUUCGUAGAUAUCUGGAGGAACAACGGUGGCGAAGGCGGCUUACUGGACUGAUACUGACGCUGAGGUGCGAAAGUGUGGGGAGAGAACAGG